rnacentral:rRNA from 1 species
UACAGAGGGGGCAAGCGUUAUUCGGAAUUAUUGGGCGUAAAGGGCGCGUAGGCGGCCAUUCAAGUGACGGGUGAAAGCCCUCGGCUUAACCGAGGAACUGCCUGUCAGACUGGAUGGCUUGAGACCGGGAGAGGUGAGUGGAAUUCCCAGUGUAGCGGUGAAAUGCGUAGAUAUUGGGAGGAACACCAGUGGCGAAGGCGGCUCACUGGACCGGAACUGACGCUGAGGCGCGAAAGCAUGGGGAGCGAACAGG